rnacentral:rRNA from 1 species
GAUGAACGCUGGCGGCGUGCCUAAUACAUGCAAGUCGAGCGAACGGACGAGAAGCUUGCUUCUCUGAUGUUAGCGGCGGACGGGUGAGUAACACGUGGAUAACCUACCUAUAAGACUGGGAUAACUUCGGGAAACCGGAGCUAAUACCGGAUAAUAUUUUGAACCGCAUGGUUCAAAAGUGAAAGACGGUCUUGCUGUCACUUAUAGAUGGAUCCGCGCUGCAUUAGCUAGUUGGUAAGGUAACGGCUUACCAAGGCAACGAUGCAUAGCCGACCUGAGAGGGUGAUCGGCCACACUGGAACUGAGACACGGUCCAGACUCCUACGGGAGGCAGCAGUAGGGAAUCUUCCGCAAUGGGCGAAAGCCUGACGGAGCAACGCCGCGUGAGUGAUGAAGGUCUUCGGAUCGUAAAACUCUGUUAUUAGGGAAGAACAUAUGUGUAAGUAACUGUGCACAUCUUGACGGUACCUAAUCAGAAAGCCACGGCUAACUACGUGCCAGCAGCCGCGGUAAUACGUAGGUGGCAAGCGUUAUCCGGAAUUAUUGGGCGUAAAGCGCGCGUAGGCGGUUUUUUAAGUCUGAUGUGAAAGCCCACGGCUCAACCGUGGAGGGUCAUUGGAAACUGGAAAACUUGAGUGCAGAAGAGGGAAGUGGAAUUCCAUGUGUAGCGGUGAAAUGCUCAGAGAUAUGGAGGAACACCAGUGGCGAAGGCGACUUUCUGGUCUGUAACUGACGCUGAUGUGCGAAAGCGUGGGGAUCAAACAGGAUUAGAUACCCUGGUAGUCCACGCCGUAAACGAUGAGUGCUAAGUGUUAGGGGGUUUCCGCCCCUUAGUGCUGCAGCUAACGCAUUAAGCACUCCGCCUGGGGAGUACGACCGCAAGGUUGAAACUCAAAGGAAUUGACGGGGACCCGCACAAGCGGUGGAGCAUGUGGUUUAAUUCGAAGCAACGCGAAGAACCUUACCAAAUCUUGACAUCCUUUGACAACUCUAGAGAUAGAGCCUUCCCCUUCGGGGGACAAAGUGACAGGUGGUGCAUGGUUGUCGUCAGCUCGUGUCGUGAGAUGUUGGGUUAAGUCCCGCAACGAGCGCAACCCUUAAGCUUAGUUGCCAUCAUUAAGUUGGGCACUCUAAGUUGACUGCCGGUGACAAACCGGAGGAAGGUGGAGAUGACGUCAAAUCAUCAUGCCCCUUAUGAUUUGGGCUACACACGUGCUACAAUGGACAAUACAAAGGGCAGCGAAACCGCGAGGUCAAGCAAAUCCCAUAAAGUUGUUCUCAGUUCGGAUUGUAGUCUGCAACUCGACUACAUGAAGCUGGAAUCGCUAGUAAUCGUAGAUCAGCAUGCUACGGUGAAUACGUUCCCGGGUCU